rnacentral:lncRNA from 1 species
GCUCUUUCCAUUUUACCACAUAACUUCAGUCCUCUAUUGUAAAGGAUUUUGAAAACCAACAAGAAAUUCUAAUAAUGAGAUCUUCUGAAAUAUCUGACAAAAAUUGGAAGGACAGAGAAAAUAUCAAGAAUGUGAAGACAGUGGAAUGAAGUCUGGAGGAGACGUGUUAACACCUUGCUCUAUUUUUGCUUCAGAUACUUUAUAUUUAUAGCCUACGCUCUUACAGUUGCUUCUUGCUGCUAGAAUCAAGGCCGGUGGUUUGAUGCAUUGCACUGGGGAGUUCACAUGUACUUCCUGGAAUGUGUUCUAGUUUGUUCAUGGUGGCCCUGUGUGGUACAAUGGAUGUGCCUUUUGUUUCUAGGAAACUGUUCACAGCAUGAAUGAAUCAAUGUGUGAUGGAUGGCUGCAAGAAACACACAGACCAUGUCCUG